rnacentral:rRNA from 1 species
GAUGAACGCUGACAGAAUGCUUAACACAUGCAAGUCGAUGGGGAAGUGGUGCUUGCACCCUGGCAACCAUGGCGGACGGGUGAGUAACGCGUAAGGGACUUACCUGCAGGACUGGGAUAACAGGGGGAAACUCCUGACAAGACCGGAUAAUGUCGUGGAGCUGCAUGGCUUUAUGAUGAAAGGAGACGCCUGCGGAGAGCCUUGCGUCCUAUUAGCUAGUUGGUGAGGUAAUGGCUCACCAAGGCGAAGAUAGGUAGCCGGCCUGAGAGGGUGGACGGCCACAAGGGGACUGAGAUACGGCCCUUACUCCUACGGGAGGCAGCAGUGGGGAAUAUUGGACAAUGGGGGCAACCCUGAUCCAGCAAUUCUGUGUGCACGAAGAAGGUUUUCGGAUUGUAAAGUGCUUUCAGCAGGGAAGAAGUAAGUGACGGUACCUGCAGAAGAAGCGACGGCUAAAUACGUG